GCAGUGGGAGCUCAGUGGAUAAGACGUUGGACUAUUGUUCGAAAAGGUCGUAAGUUCAAAUCUCAACACUGCA